rnacentral:rRNA from 1 species
AGCAGCCGCGGUAAUUCCAGCUCCAAUAGCGUAUAUUAAAGUUGUUGCAGUUAAAAAGCUCGUAGUUGAAUUUCGGGAUCAAUACGUCGGUCGUGCUUCGGUACGUACUGGCGUAAUUGAUUUCUCCCUUCUGACGAACCAUGAUGUCAUUAACUUGGUGUCAUGGGAAAUCAGGACUGUUACUUUGAAAAAAUUAGAGUGUUUAAAGCAGGCUCACGCUUGAAUACAUUAGCAUGGAAUAAUGAAAUAGGACGUUCGAUCCUAUUUUGUUGGUUUUUAGGAUCAACGUAAUGAUUAAUAGGGAUAGUUGGGGGCAUUAGUAUUCAAUUGUCAGAGGUGAAAUUCUUGGAUUUAUUGAAGACUAACUACUGCGAAAGCAUUUGCCAAGGAUGUUUUCAUUAAUCAAGAACGAAAGUUAGGGGAUCGAAGACGAUCAGAUACCGUCGUAGUCUUAACCAUAAACUAUGCCGACUAGGGAUCGGAUGAUGUUAAUUUUUAAUGACUCAUUCGG